CUAAACUAAGGAACAGAGUUUACUUUUAAGGGGGGAUUUGUGAGUUUAUGCAACUUUACACAAGUGUGUACAUAAUAUAUAUGUAUUAUAUUAUAUAUAUAUUAUAUAUAAAAGAGUGUCAGUGUUUUGGCCAGAUGGAAAGAAUAAUGCCUUGGAAGAUUAGCUCCUGAUAAGAAAGUCAGUAGAGACUCAUUUGCUUUCUUUGAGAUCACAAUGUGUUACUCUGCAUUAAGUCAGUCUUUCAAAACUAGCCCGCAGAUACAAGUCUAGGUAGUUUAUUAAUAGAUCUGUUUGAAAAAAUGCUGAUUCAGUAUCAUCAAAACAUUCUGUGGGAACAAGUUCAUUUUUCUUAGUUACUCUUGACAGAAACUAGGCAGGUUUCCAUGGAAACUUGCCUACUUCACCACCAAUUUGCCUGUCUGGAGCCAGAUUUCCAGCCAUGGGAUGAGUCUAAGCUGCUUGGCUCCUAGGGCUGUCAGGGUUCAGAGAACUUGAGGAAAGUCAUCUUGAGUUUGUUUUGAAGAGCGAAAGCAAAAAUAUUGCUUCAAUUUCUGUAAACAACAUUUAAGGAUUCUUGUCAGAAGAGAUGUUGAAGUCUUUUUCCAGUGUGCAAACAUUUUUCCCCCUCUCAGAUUUUCACUCAGAAGAGGAAGUUUGUGCUAUGACCACUAGUUUCUUGAAAAGCUGCCAUGUAUCAUACUUCAGCUGUCCACAGGGGACUGAGUGGUGACCACUUGACUCAGCUGUUAAACUGCAGUGCUCAGUCAUCAGGAGAUUACUUGGCCACUAUUGAUUCACUACUGAGAAGAACGUUGUGCUACAUCUUGGGAAGCCAUUCUCAGUAGCCAAAGAUUUCUACCACACUGGCACUGAAAACUUAUCUUGUGAGUUUUUCAUGUUGUAAAAAUCUGAAAUGCAUAGAUACCAGAUUCACAAUUCAGUGACCCUAAAGCAGCAAGACACCUAAGAGGAAAUGGGGCUAUGAUAGCACAUCACUGGUAGUUAUACAAGAAACAUUUACUGAUGGCAAGAGAAAAGCUAGUCUUAUGUUCCUGUCACUCUUGUGAGCAUUGUUUUUAACCUUCCUCUCUCCAUUUUAGUAAAAGUAGAGAGGAAAUUGUUCA
rnacentral:lncRNA from 1 species